UACGAAGGGGGCUAGCGUUGUUCGGAAUUACUGGGCGUAAAGCGCGCGCAGGUGGUCUUUCAAGUCAGUGGUGAAAGCCCGGAGCUCAACUCCGGAAAUGCCAUUGAAACUGUAAGACUUGAGGAUGAGAGAGGUGAGUGGAAUUCCCAGUGUAGAGGUGAAAUUCGUAGAUAUUGGGAAGAACACCGGUGGCGAAGGCGGCCCACUGGACCACAACUGACGCUGAGGCGCGAAAGCUAGGGGAGCAAACAGG
rnacentral:rRNA from 1 species